rnacentral:rRNA from 1 species
CCUACGGUGGGCAGCAGUGGGGGAUAUUGCACAAUGGGGGGAACCCUGAUGCAGCGACGCCGCGUGGGUGAAGAAGCGCCUCGGCGCGUAAAGCCCUGUCAGCAGGGAAGAAAAUGACGGUACCUGAAGAAGAAGCCCCGGCUAACUACGUGCCAGCAGCCGCGGUAAUACGGAGGAUGCGAGCGUUAUCCGGAUUUAUUGGGUUUAAAGGGUGCGUAGGCGGAAUGCCAAGUCAGCGGUAAAAUCGCGGGGCUCAACCUCGCUCCGCCGUUGAAACUGGCGUUCUUGAGUGGGCGAGAAGUAUGCGGAAUGCGUGGUGUAGCGGUGAAAUGCAUAGAUAUCACGCAGAACUCCGAUUGCGAAGGCAGCAUACCGGCGCCCAACUGACGCUGAAGCACGAAAGCGUGGGUAUCGAACAGGAUUAGAUACCCCUGUAGUC